CUUGUACUCCCUCCGUCUGGAAAUACUUGUCAUUGAAAUGGAUGUAUCUAGAUGUAUUUUAGUUCUAGACACAUCCAUUUUGAUGACAAGUAAUUCUGGACGGAGGGAGUACUUG
rnacentral:pre_miRNA from 1 species